rnacentral:lncRNA from 1 species
CCCUCUUCGGCUCUCAGCCAGCUUGCCUUCAAGAUCCUCAUCUAGACAAGGCUUAAAUUUGGCUUAACUGUUGGCUCCAGCAUUACCGUUUCACAAGGACGGAGGUGCAGCCUGUGUGGUGAUCCUUGCCAGGCGAAGGCACCAGGAAGAAUCCUUAUCCAAUGACGGGGACCCUAAAACUUGCCCGCACUCUUUUCUCCCGCCUCUGGUUCCUGCCCUGCAUGAGUUCCUGUCCUGACUUCCUUCAGUGGUGGACUAUGAUGUGCAAAUGAGGUGUCCGGCCUCAGAAAAUGCUGCUCCAAAGUCCUUUGGAUGGAAUUGAAUGAGACCUAGAGGAUUCACAAGGAAUCUCCAUUUUGAAGAUGGUGGCAGAUUCAAGAUCAGAAGUCUCACAGAGAGGGCUCCUGCUGAACGCCUGGGAGAAGAAUAGACCAGAAGGAGGCUGGACACAGAGGCUGUGUGGGGCCACUCCAGCCUAUCACCAGGACACCUAAGCCUUCUGUCCAGUUGUGCUUUACACUGUCCUCCAGGCUUCCAAACAGUUUUCAUUGAGUCUUUGGAUGCUCAUUUCUGAAGCCACAUUAAAUCGAGGCUACUUCCUCUUA